rnacentral:rRNA from 1 species
AGUGGCGGACGGGUGAGUAACGCGUGAGAAUCUGCCUUGGGGUCGGGGACAACCACUGGAAACGGUGGCUAAUACCGGAUAAGCCGAUUGGUGAAAGAUUUAUUGCCCGAAGAGGAGCUCGCGUCUGAUUAGCUAGUUGGUGAGGUAAGAGCUCACCAAGGCAGCGAUCAGUAGCUGGUCUGAGAGGACGAUCAGCCACACUGGGACUGAGACACGGCCCAGACUCCUACGGGAGGCAGCAGUGGGGAAUUUUCCGCAAUGGGCGAAAGCCUGACGGAGCAAGACCGCGUGAGGGAGGAAGGCUCUUGGGUUGUAAACCUCUUUUCUCAGGGAAGAAGCUCUGACGGUACCUGAGGAAUCAGCCUCGGCUAACUCCGUGCCAGCAGCCGCGGUAAUACGGAGGAGGCAAGCGUUAUCCGGAAUUAUUGGGCGUAAAGCGUCCGCAGGUGGCAAUUCAAGUCUGCUGUCAAAGCACGGGGCUUAACUCCGUUAAGGCAGUGGAAACUGAAUAGCUAGAGUGCCGUAGGGGUAGAGGGAAUUCCCGGGGUAGCGGUGAAAUGCGUAGAGAUCGGGAAGAACAUCGGUGGCGAAAGCGCUCUACUGGACGGCAACUGACACUCAGGGACGAAAGCUAGGGGAGCGAAUGGGAUUAGAUACCCC